UACGUAGGGUGCGAGCGCUAAUCGGAAUUACUGGGCGUAAAGCGUGCGCAGGCGGCUUUGCAAGACAGAUGUGAAAUCCCCGGGCUCAACCUGGGAACUGCAUUUGUGACUGCAAGGCUAGAGUACGGCAGAGGGGGAUGGAAUUCCGCGUGUAGCAGUGAAAUGCGUAGAUAUGCGGAGGAACACCAAUGGCGAAGGCAAUCCCCUGGGCCUGUACUGACGCUCAUGCACGAAAGCGUGGGGAGCAAACAGG
rnacentral:rRNA from 1 species